rnacentral:rRNA from 1 species
GAUAUGGCUCAGGAUGAACGCUAGCGACAGGCUUAACACAUGCAGUCAGGGGCAGCACGGAGUAGCAAUACAACUGGUGGCGACCGGCGCACGGGUGAGUAACGACGUAUGCAACCUACCUAUCAGGAAGGGGAAUAACCCGGCGAAAGUCGGACUAAUACCGCAUAAAACAGGGGCACCGCAUGGUGAUAUUUGUUAAAGAAAUUCGCUGAUAGAUGGGCAUGCGUUCCAUUAGGUAGUUGGUGAGGUAACGGCUCACCAAGCCGACGAUGGAUAGGGGAACUGAGAGGUUGGUCCCCCACACUGGUACUGAGACACGGACCAGACUCCUACGGGAGGCAGCAGUGAGGAAUAUUGGUCAAUGGGCGGGAGCCUGAACCAGCCAAGUCGCGUGAAGGAAAGAAGGAUCUAUGGUUCGUAAACUUCUUUUGCAGGGGAAUAAAGUGCAGGACGUGUCCUGUUUUGUAUGUACCCUGAGAAUAAGGAUCGGCUAACUCCGUGCCAGCAGCUGC